UUAAAUUUCCAAAAAUUUUUUAUUAAAAUAAGCCAGUAGCUACGUUUUUUCAAAAAACAUGGCUUUAAUAUAGAAAUUUAGAUUUUUAAGAUUUUGAAACUAGUGAAAAAAUUUACCAAAUUUUUUUUCAAAUAACCUUAUGGCCACAUUUUUGUGAAAAAUGUGGCUACAAAGGGCUGACUGUCUGACAGCUGAACAAAAGGCACAGUUUUUAGUAGAAGUAUGGCUUUGAGCCACUUUUUUUUUUUUUUUAAAUCGUGGCUAUAUUUUUGCCAUGAUUGAUAUAGCCAAGCUUUCUUACAACCAUUGGAAAAAAGCUUUGCCACAUUUUAAAAACAUGGCUGUUGAACAAGUAAAACCAUGCCAACGUACUAGUUUGGUUGUAGUGACAUCAUGCCCAGUGAUUCCCUCCUAUUGAAGAUCCUCCACUUGGCUGUUCUUUUCUACAUGUAUUCUAUUCACUAUCACCAUCACUUUAUAAAGAUAGAUGAACCCUUCAUAAGCAAUUUGGUAUUCUUCCCCAUAAAAUUUAAAGGUUGGCAUCAAUGGUUGAAUUAAAUCUAACUCUACAAAUCCUUGCAAAAGCUCCUUUGUAUGAUCCAGAGGUUAAUCUAUCAAUUUUUAGUAUAGUCCCCACCUUAUCUCCUAUCAUUCUUAUAAAUUGCACAUUAUAAAGCUCCAUUAGUAAAUCUAAGACACAAAUCCAAGUGGCCAUCCUCCUUUGUGUUUCUACUUUCCAAGGAUUAAAAUUUAGCCUCUAUUUUUGCACUAAUAGGUAGUGUUCAUCAAUAAUCCAUGGCCCUUCUUGGUAUGUAUAAUUAAGAUCCUCCUUUAUUGAGAAAGACACAAUGAAGUAUCUAUUACUGAGAGGUAAAAUCCGCAUUGGUUCUCGUAAUUGCCACAUCCUUAUAAGUCUAGGCCUAAAAAUCAUAGUAGAAUAUUCCUCCCUAACAACUUCACUAAUAAAGAGUUUAGCCAAGGAUGACACUGUAACAUCAUAAGUUUUUUAAUUAGUAAUUAUCAGUGUUUUUAAGGGUAAAUUGGUCAAUUAAAAUAAAUUAUUGAUUAAUGAGGUUUAUGGGAGACUAGUAAAGUUUUUGGAUCAUUGGACAGCCUUAAAAGUUGGCUAGGUUGAUGUUCGAGUGGGCCAUGGCACAGAAGGAAGUUUAAAUUUUAGUGUGGCUUUUUGUACCAUGCGCCGUGGCUGGCGUGUCAAUGCACCACGGUUUACUUGCAAAAUCAACACUUAUCAAUUCACGAAAACAAACUGAAAACAGAAGAGGGAAAGAAGGAAAAUGAGAGAGCGAUAGAGAGGACCUCAUGGUCUUCUAAGGCACAAUACCUAGGCCACGUUAUGAGUAUUUGAAGCUUGAAUCACUAUUAAGUAAGUUCCACAUUCCCUCUUCUCCCUCUUUUAUGCAAAAAUCUGGACUGAUGAGGCAAUGGGGGCUUUGUUCUUAGUUCUCUUGGGUUUAGGCCAAACCUAUUAGUCUAUUUAAGGUCUUGGAGAGUUAAAUCAAGUUUCUAAUCCUAAGUUUAUGAGUUUUAUGGUGACUAGGAUUUUUUGUUGAGGGUUUGGAUGAACCCUAGGUAUAAUCUAGAGGUUUUCAGACAAUGUGAGGAAUUGGCUAGUAAUUUUGGUGUGUUGGAAUGUUUAAUAGGAUGGUUAGAAUGUUUGAGAAUGGUUGGUGUUGUUAGAAAAGGAAUUUGAGUGUUGUGAGUACUUAAAACCUAGUAAAUUCGAAGUUAUCCGUAGUGAUAAUUGAUGAUUAUUACUUGAUUGUGUAGAUUGAGCAUUCCUUGAGCUAUAUCAUGUAUAUAAAACAUGUGGAGCUAACGUUGAGUCACGGUAAACUUUUUGUAUGACAAAGGGUUAAGGUGAGGGCUCUUGUAGGGGGCAAGGAGAAGGAAGGGGCAUCUGAAGAGUGAUGAGCAUAAUCGAGAAGAGAGAGGAUGGCAAGAAGAACAACCGCUAGAACAGCUAUAGGUGAUAACCUAUCUAAUACAUAUGUGGUACCAAAGACCAAUAAGCUACCACCAGAGAAUCACAUUUUGAUUGGUUAGAACUUGUAACAAUUGAGGAAUGAGCCACAGGAUAAUAAGGCCUUGCUAUUAGAGAUAAGGAACUUAAUGCAAGAAAUAUGUAAUUAGGUGCGAGGUCAAGGUGUAUUGAGGAAUGAUAGAGCAAAAUGUGAUAGUAGAAUAAUAGAAAAUGAAGAAGAGAUGUAUGAGCAAGAGAAUGAAGCACAUGAUGAGAGCACACCUAAGCAAUCGAGAGUUAUGGAUGGCAGUGGUUCACAAAAUUCCAUGGAUCGAGCAUGGAAGAGUUUCUCAUGGUUUCAUCCAUCUACCUUUGAUGGAACAAUGAAAAAGGGUGAAGUCGAAGAGUGGAUUGAGAGAAUUAAAAUAAUCUUUGAGAUUGUGCCAUGUUCAAAGGAGCAGAAGGUGACUUUAGCCUCUGUAUUGUUUGUAAAAGAGGUUAAACAUUAGUGGAAGUUAGUGAGAUCGACGGGUAGAGUUAAGUAGAUGUGGGAUGAAUUUAAAGUGAGGUUUUUUAACUUCUACUUCCUAAUGGCCUUUAGAGUAGAGAAAGAAGUCGAGUUUCACAAAUUUAAGCAAGGAAAUUUUAAUAAAGAAGCUUUUAUCACUAAAUUCAAUCAAUUGUCAAAGUACUCUACCUAUCUCAUAGGAAAUGAUAACUCAAAAUGGAAGGCAGAGAUGCUACUUGAAAAGAUGAGGCCUGAGUACUGACAACAGUUGGCCUUGUUUGAGAUUACAUCUUAUGAUGAGAUGUGAAAUAAGCUAAGAAUAGCUGCGAAAAGGGCAGAGAGGAAAAGAUUAAGGAGAGAAGGGAUAGUUAAGGCAGAUUCUUACAAUCGCUUAGCCCUACUAGUGGAGUUAGUAAGAGGUCUGGUUUUAGCUCUGAUAGUUCUAGGAGCUUUAGGAAGAAGAAGAGUUUUCAGAGGGGACCAUAGUCCUAAGGCUCUUUCCAGAGGAUCAGUGGGUCAAAGAAUGGUGCUAGUAAUGCACAGUCAACUCAACUGGCUUCUACAGUACCUGUAUCGAUCUUAACACGGCUAAAACCCCUUAGUGCUUGAAAUGUCGGAGAUACCAUGUGGGAAAGUGUUGGGCUUGCUUUAAGUGUAGCAAGAUAGGGCACAUAGCCAAAUAUUGUGAAGAGGGCAAAGUGGGUACCAUAGAACAGAGAUCGACUAUUCUUAAGAGGGUAUUUGCGUUGUCCUAGGAGGAGGCAGGUGCGUCCCCAAUUUGAUUAAAGGUAAAAUCUCUUUGCACAAAUGUGAUAUAGAUGCCUUAUUUGAUUCGGGUGCUACCCAUUCUUACAUUUCUAAUGACUGUGUGUUAAGGUUGAAAUUUCCUAUGCAUACCUUACCAUAUGUGAUUAAUAUGUCAAUGUCGGUGAGAAUUUCUAUAAGAACUGAUCGCACUUGUUUGGGUGUUGAUUUGAGAUUUGAGAAUAGAUCAACCACCAUUGAUUUAAUUUGUCUACCCAUGAUUAGGAUUGACGUAAUAGUUGGUAUGAAAUGGUUGUCGGCAAAUAAUGCAACACUAGAUUGUGCAAGAAAGAUAAUAUCCUUGCCAAUAUACAUUGCACCUACAGUGAAACCGAGUCAGUCAAGAUUCUUGUCUAUAAUGCAAGCAGAAAAGUGCAUUCAAUAGGGUUGUUAGGUAUAUAUGGUGUUCUUUUCUGUUCAUGUUGCUUAUGACGAAGGAAUCGAGAGAAUCAGAGUGGUAAACAAAUUUUCAAAAGUAUUCUCAAAAGAAGUGUCUGGAUUGCCGCCUGAGUGAGAGGUAGAAUUUUCUAUUGACCUUGUGCCUAGAACAAAACUCAUAUCAAAAGCUCCAUAUCAGAUGUCUCCAUCUAAGUUGGUAAAGCUAAAGAAACAACUGGAGGAAUUGCUAGAGAAAAGUUUCAUAAGGUUGAAUAUAUCUCCAUGGGGAUCAUUGGUGUUAUUUGUGAAGAAGAAGGAUGGUAGUAUGAGGCUUUGUAUUGACUACAGAUAGUUGAAUAAGUUGACAGUCAAGAACAAGUAUCUAUUGCCCAAGAUUGAUGACUUACUAAAUUAGCUGGUUGGAGCUGCAGUAUUCUUUAAGAUUAACCUGUGAUCUAGCUAUCAUCAAUUGGGAGUCAGGGUUGAAGAUGUGCUAAAGAUUGCCUUUCUCACCAAAUAUAGCCACUAUGAGUUUCUAGUGAUGCCAUUUGAAUUGACAAAUGCUCCAACGAUGUUUAUGGACUUCAUGAAUAAAAUAUUCCAUCCAUAUCUUGGUAAGUUCGUGGUGAUGUUCAUUAAUGAUAGUCUAAUUUACUCAAGAGAUGAGGAGGAACAUUUGAAGCAUCUCCGUAUUGUCCUGUAACUUUUAAAUGAUAAUAAGUUGUAUGCCAAACUCAGUAAAUAUGAGUUUUGGCUGAGGAAAGUGAGAUUCCUUAGUCACUUGGUGUUAGCAGAAGGGAUUAUUGUAGAUCCACACAAGGUCGAUUCUAUUUUAAAAUAGGAACUGCCUACCUCUAUGAGAGAGAUUAGAAGUUUCUUGAGAUUAACAGGCUACUAUCGACAAUUCGUUCAGGGAUUUUCACAUAUUGUGUCUCCAUUGACUAAGUUGACUUGAAAGGAUUAGUCGUACGUGUAGACCAAUAAAUGUGAACUAACAUUUUAAGAGUUGAAGAGGAAACUAACGUCUACACUAAUACUGAUUAUUCCUAAUGCUCGAUUACCGUAUGUGGUUUAUAUGGAUGCAUCGUUGAAAGGUUUAAGGUGCGUUUUAAUGCAAGAUGAGCGAGUUGUUGCUUAUGCCUCAAGAAAAUUGUGACCAUAUAAGGAAAAUUACCUAACUCAUGAUCUGGAGUUAGCAACAGUGGUUUUUGUCUUGAAAAUUUAGCAACACUAUCUCUAUGGGUUUGUGUUUGAAGUAUUAUAAUGACUACAAGAGUUUGAAGCACUUAGUGGAUCAGAAGGAACUAUGCAUAAGACAACGUAGGUGAAUGGAAUUCCUCAAGGACUACAACUUUGAGAUCAAGUAUCAUUUAGGUAAAGCCAAUAUAGUAGCCGACGUGCUAAGUAGGAAAAUGAUGCAUGUCGCUCGCAUGAUGAUCCAAGAGUAUCGACUAGUUGAGACUUUCCUGGAUACUCAAAGGAAACCACCUCAGAUGAUAUUCUACAAUGUAUACUUUACGGUCAUAACUAAUGAAUUUUGAAAAGAGUUGUGAACUGCUUAGUUUGAGGAUGAAUAUUUAUUGAGAAUCCAUGAGGAUAUUGAAGAGAGAAGACCCAUAUAAUUUAGAUCCAAUGAUGAUGGAUAUGUGACUCAUCGGGAUUAGAUUUGCAUAUCGAGUGAUGAGGAGAUAAGGAAGAUGAUCCUAGAGGAAGCGCACUGUAGUGAGUAUAUUCACCCUGGUUUCACCAAGAUGUGUCAGGAUAUGAAACAAAUGUGGUGGUAGCUAGGAAUGAAGAAAGAUGUCAUAAAGUUUGCGGCUAGGUGUCUGAUGUGCUAAAAAGUCAAGAUUGAGCACUAAAGGCUUGGUGGUGUCUUGAAACCAUUAGAGAUUCCAAAGUAGAGAUGGGAUAGUAUAUUAAUGGAUUUCAUCACUGGAUUGCCUAGAACUCAAGCGGGCUAUGAUGCAAUAUGGGUAAUUAUGGAUCAAUUGAUGAAAUUAGCGUACUUCUUAAUAGUGAAGACGACAUAUUUACUUAAGAAGUAUGCCGAGGCAUAUGUGAAUGAGAUUGUGAGACUUCAUAAGGUGUUGAAAGACAUUGUCUUUGACCAUGAUCUGAGGUUCACAUCAAACUUUUGGCAAGUAUUACAGAGAGCAAUGGGCACUAAGUUAAGAUUUAGUGUGGCCUAUCAUCCACAGACAAACAGCUAGACUGAGAGGACUAUCCAAAUGCUCGAGGAUAUGUUGCGAGCUUAUGCCUUAGAGUUUAGAGGCAGCUGGGAUAUACACCUAUCGCUAGUGGAGUUCACUUAUAAUAAUAGUUUUCAUUCUAGUAUUGGAGUAGCUCCAUAUGAAGCAUUAUAUGGAAGAAGAUGUCGAUUGCCUCUAUGUUGGAUAGAAUAGAGCGAGAGGGUUUGGAUUUGGCAAAUUAAACCAUCUAGAAGAUCCAAUUAAUCAAGCAAAAGUUGUUGACACCUCAAAGUCAACAAAAGAGCUAUGUAGAUUGGUGUAGAAGACCGUUGGAAUUUUUGGUGGGUGAUCAUGUGUUUUUGAAGGUCAUGCUAAUGACUGGCGUUAGAAAAUCGAUAAAGGCUAAGAAAUUGACUCCCAAGUUUAUUAGUCCCUUUAAGAUUUUGUAAAAGUUAGGACUUGUUGCCUAUCAGAUUGCCUUAUGUCAAGUUUAUCAGGUGUUCAUGAUGUGUUCCAUGUGAGUUAGCUCAAGAAGUAUCAAUCAUAUCCUCCUCAUGUUAUUGAACUAAAAGAGGUGGAACUUCAGGAAAACUUGAUUUAUCCAGCUGAACUAGAAUGGAUUGUGGAUGUGAAAGAUCGACAAUUAAGGAACAAGAUUAUUCGAUUGGUUAAGGUCUUUAGGAAAGGUAUGACUUUCAAUGAUGCGACUUGGGAGACUGAGGACAAAAUGAGGCAAUUAUAUUCUCAAUUAUUUCUAUAGUGUGUUUGUGCGAGAUUCUAAAUUUUGAGGGCAAAAUUCCUAAAAGGAUGGAAGAAUUGUAAUAUCUUAAGUUUCCCAAUUAGUAAUUAUCAGUAUUUUCAAGGGUAAAUUGAUCAAUUAAAAUGAAGUAUUGAUUAAUGAGGUUUAUGGGAGACUAAUAUAGUUUUUGAAUCCUUGGACAGUCUUAGAAGAGGGCUAGGUUGAUGUUCAAGUGGGCCAUGGUAUGGAAAGGAGUUUAAAUUUUAGUGUGGCUUUUUGUGCCAUAUGCCGCGUCGGGCAUGUCAAUGCACCACAGCGCACCUACAAAAUCAGCACAUAUCAGUUUGUGAAAAUAGAUCAAAAAUAGAAAAAAGAAAGAAGGAAAACUAGAGAGCGACGUUGGGAGCAUUUAGAGCUUGAAUCACAAUUGGAUAAGUUCCACAUUCCUUCUUCUCCCUCUUUUAUGCAAAAAACUAGAUUGGUAAGGCAAUGGGGGCUUUGAUCUCGGUACCCUUAGGUUUCGAACAAACUCAUUGGUCCAUUUAAGGUCUUAGGGAGUAAAAUCAAGCUUCUAAUCCUAAGUUUAUAAUUUUUAUGGUGAUUGAAAAUUUUUGUUGAGGGUUUGGAUGAAUCUUAGGUAUAAUCUAGAGGUUUUGAGACAAUGUGGGGAAUUGGCUAGUAAUUUUGAUAUGUUGGGAUGUUUAAUAGGAUGGUUAGAGUAUUUGAGAAUGGUUGGUUAUCGCACCCGAAAAUGCGACGCGAACGGCGUGAGAGUGGAGGUUCUGGCCUUCAGAAAGAAGACCGAAGAAAUGGGAAUUGCCACCAAAAUUUUAAGAGGAUAAGGGUGGUCUGUAAAAAUAAAAAAUAGGUUCGAGAGUCAAUUAAGUGUGGGAAAAGUGUUAGGCACCCCACAACACCCGUUCGUAAGAACGGUUACUUGAAAUUUACUGUGCUAUAUAAAUAUGGUUUUAAAAUUA